rnacentral:lncRNA from 1 species
AAAUAAAUUCAUUUCACUUCCAAUACUCCAAAUCAUCAAAUAUAAGCUAGAUAACAUGAAUUAUAGCAAAAUCAUCCUCAACAUUUUCUCUUGGAAAAUUCGGCCAUGGUGGGUGCAUAAACACUAUGGUUUUUCACACUUGAUUUUUACACCAUAAAUCAUUAAUUCCUAACCAAAUCACUUGAAAUAAAAUCAAAUCCACCAUC